UCACGUGGUCGUACUGGUCGUGGCGGU
rnacentral:piRNA from 1 species